UAAGCAGGCUUAUCUUAUCGUCACGCUUUUAGCGUGUAGGAAAGUCCGGACACCAUAGAGUAUCAUAGCGGAUAACAUCCGUCCAGCGUAAGCUGAGGACCAGUGCAACAGAAAGCAAGUACAGUUCGGCUGUAGUGAAACCAGGUAAACUCUAUGAGGUGCAAUGCCAUGUAAAUUAGAGAUUGAGAGCUACUCGCUCGAUUCUAAAGGGUAGGCAGAUUGAUUCUAAGAGUAAUUUUAGAACGAGAUAAAUGAUAAGAACCUUUUUUAAAGGAACAGGAUUCGGCUUAUUAGCCUGCUUUUUUU
rnacentral:RNase_P_RNA from 1 species